rnacentral:lncRNA from 13 species
UGGGGCAACAUGAAUCCAGCCUGUUACAUUUGAGAUUUUGGUUCACUUAUUUACAAAAGGGCCCAGAGCCUCCCCCUUCUUUCCCUGCAUUAGGAAAGAGUUUGGAAGUGGCUGACAGCAGUGUCUUCCUUCUGGCAGCCCUUAUAUUUUCUCUCUACGCAAAACUCAAAAGAAAUCCUCUGUCAGAAGAAAAAAGUGGAGGUGGGAUAAUGUGACCAACAGCUAAGCUCCAGUCCUUGACACAGGCUUAGGUGAUGAUCCCAGCUGAGACAAGGAUUGGUGAGUUACCUUAGAGAAGAAGCCUCUUCUAAAUGCUCAGACUCGCUGUGGGCUGGAAGGAUUUGACUUUGAAUGCUUCUGAAAUUCUCCCCUCCUUGUUCUUGAUUAACCAUUGAGAUGACAAUGUAGAUUUGAGGGAGAGGUGGCUCUGAUUCUGCUUAAACCAGAGAAAACUGAAAGUGAUAUUGACAUUCUCAUAUAUCAAUCAAUUAAUUGAUUCAUUCACUGAGUCACUGAUUCAUUCAUUUAUGCAUCAGGCAUUGUUCCAAGCAGUUGAGGUGCAGAGACGAAAUAGCAAAACAGGACAGUGGAUUCUUACUUGGGGUUUAGCAGUCUGUGGACCCUCUGGUAGGCUAAGUGAAAGCCAUGUGUGUACUUUUUCAGAGAAAAGAUGUAUUGCUCUGGCCAGAUUCUCAGGAGUUUAGAAGCUGCUAGCUCUUGGGAAAUAAAGGCUCUUGGGAUAAAAUAUGGAAUCUAUUAAUUCAAUCAGAGUGCAGUGGGAAGGUAGUGGGAUGUGCAGGUGAACAUCUGAAAUUCCAAAAGGGGCCAAAGAUGACCAAACCUCACAGCAGCUGGACACGAGCAGCAGCAACCAGUUCUCUGGGGUGUUUAUUUAUGAUGGCAUUAAAAAAAUAUUUACCUGAUGCCUGAGAAUAAAAAGGUGAAUGCAAACCUGGGAGACAACAAGAGGACCAACCUAUCGAGAGAGAAGUCUGAAUGGAGAGGAUAUGCCUUAAGGCUCCUGAGGAGUCUGCACAUAUUUUGGGAAGACAAUAUCAGAGGGCCAAAGCCCAGAAGGACAAGUGACUUACCUCAAGACACACACAUUGAAUUACAAGAGGGCAGCACAUCCAUGGCUCUUGCCAUCACACCACAGUAUCCACUGCAAUCCCAAUGGCAAGAGAAAGUGGCAGGCAGAGUCAGACAGGAAAGAAGUGCCAAUGGCAAGAGAUUCAAACCUCUUCUGUGA